UACAGAGGUCCCAAGCGUUGUUCGGAUUCAUUGGGCGUAAAGGGUGCGUAGGUGGUGCUGUAAGUCAGGUGUGAAAUCUCGGGGCUCAACCCCGAAACUGCACUUGAUACUGCAGUGCUGGAGGACUGGAGAGGAGAUCGGAAUUCAUAGUGUAGCAGUGAAAUGCGUAGAUAUCUGGAGGAAUACCGGUGGCGAAGGCGGCAUCCUGGACCGACAUUGACGCUGAGGAGCGAAAGCUAGGGGAGCAAACGGG
rnacentral:rRNA from 1 species